UGGCAAAAUCCCCAACAUUCUCUGCCUUCUUAUCUCUCAAGCUCUAACAGUCCUUGUGCUUGGGGAAAGGGCAGUACUAUCCCUGGACAGAUAUGUAUGUACAGACUACUCGGACCUGUCAAAUUGAGGCUGGGCCAAGAGAAACCAAGUUGACCAGGUAGCAAAUCUACGACAAGGAUCCGGAUCUUCUAGCCUCCACCCUUAUGCUACUUCUACAAAGGAGAGAAGGUGAGG
rnacentral:lncRNA from 1 species